UACGUAGGGUGCAAGCGUUGUCCGGAAUUAUUGGGCGUAAAGAGCUCGUAGGCGGUUCGUCGCGUCGGCUGUGAAAACCCGGAGCUCAACUCCGGGCCUGCAGUGGGUACGGGCAGACUAGAGUGCGGUAGGGGAGACUGGAAUUCCUGGCGUAGCGGUGAAAUGCGCAGAUAUCAGGAGGAACACCGGUGGCGAAGGCGGGUCUCUGGGCCAAAACUGACGCUGAGGAGCGAAAGCGUGGGGAGCGAACAGG
rnacentral:rRNA from 1 species